UAUAAACAAUUCAAAUUAUAUAACAUAACUAGUUGAUUCCACUUCCAGACUAUCCAACAUCACAUUUUUCAGUGCUUUUUCCUUCUCUUAUUCUAAAUCAACACGGAGACUAGUAAUUUCAAUAUUCAAUUAUAAUCAUCAUUGAUGUACAAAUUUUCGUCUCAGCUUCACACCCAAGACUCUCUCCAUUUUCGCCAGCAUAGCUUGGUUCGGCACAACCUUUCCAUUUGGUAUUAAUAUUAAUUGGCCUGUUUGGUAUUGCCUGAAGACUAUAGGGACGUUGCUGUCGAAGUGUUCACAAGUCGUCUUCUUCGUUCCCUUUUCAAUCUCAACCUUGAAUAUUCGGCAUUGUCUAUGUGUUGCAGCUUAUCCACCAACACUUCGAAGUUAGCUUCGUCCGUAGGAAUAUUAUAUGAAGUGGCUGCUGGUCCAUCUUUAAGAGUCCAUGCGUGCAGCUCUCUCCCAACACAUCAAAUUUUACCCAGUCUUUGUCGGGCAAUCAUAAAAGAAGUGCCCAGGCUUCCUAUAACUGUGACAUAUGGCCCUGGUUGUCCCUGUUAUUGCACAUCAAAGAGUAGAAAGGUGUACAAUGUAAUUAGCAAACUAAUGUAAUAUAACUAUAACAGAGUCAUUCAUUCAUUUCUCCACAGAAUACUUUUUCUAGUCAUUCAUUUGUCUCCACAAUACUUUACUGGUCAUUCUGUGGGAUGGUUAUAGAGAUAAUGUUCAAAUGAAAAAAUAAAAAUAUAAGUAGGGGAUGAAACUAAAUAUAAUUAAAUAAUGUUUCCUUUAUAGAAGCUUGGAGUUAAGGGAACUUAUGAGAUGAGUUCUAACUUAUAAGGAAACUUUUAUGUUGUUUGUUUGGAUUUGGAGAAAGAUUUGGACUUGGAUUGGAGGGUUUGGAUUUUUGUAAAAGGAGUUUCACUUUGAACACACAUUACAUUAGCAGUUGGAACAAAACUCUAUACACAAAAUUUAUCGCAAUUAACCACAUGGAUUAUGGAAAGUACUCGUGUCCUGCCAUUACUAAGAAGACCAAAAUAACCAUAACUCAGAAAACAUAAGACAUCUCAAUUAUAGAAAUUCACUGGGUUACUUGUAUAACCGAAAGUAUACAAUUCAGCCUAAACUUGUUGCGGUUUGCUGCGAAUCCUGCCACAUAUUAAGUACCUAACCUCUCUUCUUAUUAAGCAAACAUAUCUCAUCAUUUUUUCAUUUGAUAAAACUUCCAACAACAUUAAAAAUAACCAUUGUUCAAGCACUCGCAUCUCUUGUGGAAAGGCAAUUUUAGCCAGACCCAAUGCCCGCAAGAGAGACUACCACUAGUACUCUGCAUUUCACAAAAAAAUUAUUUUAACAGUCAAUGAAUCAAUAACAAGGUAAUGAAAGCCACUUCAUUUUCAACUUCAAAUUUCAAAAAAUUCAAUAACAGAAACAAAUUCAAUGAGGGAAAAAAAAUAAUGGAACCGGUUGUCCAUUACCAACUGACUGCCGGAAUUUGAAGCAAGGCCAACCUUCCCGUUCAAACUAGAAUAAGGAACUUCAGGAGAUUACCUCUUUCCUUUUGCCGCGUUUUGAAAACUGUCAACCGGGAUGCGGGUCUGUGUGUCGACAGAACGACAGUGCUACGAAGACGACAAUGAAGACAAGCUGCAUCCGAUGUUGCUAGGAAGGCGAAGCAAUCUGGAAUCGCCAAGUGUGGAAGAGCUAAUUGGGGGAAAUAGAUCUAGGCUUGGGAGAAAUGGGUUAGGGGAUUUCAAUUGUUAAACGUGAGGAAUCGUAUGUUUAAAUGGAAGUCGCGUCCACCAUGGCUGAGUUUCACGCCGUUCAUUGCCAUGUAAACUGCUGUCCAGCCACGUCGGACUGGUUCAAA
rnacentral:lncRNA from 1 species